rnacentral:tRNA from 1 species
CCUGGUAUCGUCUAGUGGUUAGGACACCAGGUUCUGAUUCACCAGUACAUCCUGGUGACCCCGGUUCAAACCCGGGUACCAGGU